rnacentral:lncRNA from 1 species
UUCUUCCCAACUUGCUUUCCGCUCUGGUUGUUGUGUCUGAUUUUGAAACCCGGAAUUGUUUUGUUGUCUCGGGGCUUGAGCUUGAGCUUGAUUGUUACUCCAUGAAAAAUCCGGGUGAUACCCCCAAUCAUGAUGAUAGUUGUUGGGAUAGACAUAAUUAUUGGGGUAAUCACCACCAUAGUGUACCGGCUCGAAACUGAUGGCGCAUUGAUGACUCAUAUGAUUUCCAGCACAAUAAUCACAAACCAUUGCUACUUGCUGUGUGGAUGGUGGACUCCAUGUUUCCAUUGGUCGAGUCAUGUUCGUGUAUGGCCAUUGAUACGCAAAGUCAUCCAUGGUACCU